UACGAAGGGGGCUAGCGUUGCUCGGAAUCACUGGGCGUAAAGGGUGCGUAGGCGGGGCUUUAAGUCAGGGGUGAAAUCCUGGAGCUCAACUCCAGAACUGCCUUUGAUACUGAGGAUCUUGAGUUCGGGAGAGGUGAGUGGAACUGCGAGUGUAGAGGUGAAAUUCGUAGAUAUUCGCAAGAACACCAGUGGCGAAGGCGGCGCACUGGCCCGAUACUGACGCUGAGGCACGAAAGCGUGGGGAGCAAACAGG
rnacentral:rRNA from 1 species